rnacentral:rRNA from 1 species
CCCGCUGAACUUAAGCAUAUCAAUAAGCGGAGGAAAAGAAACUAACAAGGAUUCCCCUAGUAACUGCGAGUGAAGCGGGAAAAGCUCAAAUUUAAAAUCUGGCGGUCUCUGGCCGUCCGAGUUGUAAUCUAGAGAAGUGCUGCCCGCGCUGGACCGUGUACAAGUCUCCUGGAAUGGAGCGUCACAGAGGGUGAGAAUCCCGUCUCUGACACGGACUACCAGGGCUUUGUGGUACGCUCUCAAAGAGUCGAGUUGUUUGGGAAUGCAGCUCAAAAUGGGUGGUAAAUUCCAUCUAAAGCUAAAUAUUGGCGAGAGACCGAUAGCGAACAAGUACCGUGAGGGAAAGAUGAAAAGAACUUUGGAAAGAGAGUUAAACAGUACGUGAAAUUGUUGAAAGGGAAACGCUUGAAGUCAGUCACGUUGGCCAGAAAUCAACUUGUAACAGGGCGUAAUUUCUGGUUUUACGGGUCAACAUCAAUUUUGAUUGUUGGAUAAAAGUCAAUAUUUAUGCGUUUUCGGACGUGUAGCCUUUGAUUGCAUACAAUGGUUGGGAUUGAGGAACUCAGCACGCCGCAAGGCCGGGUAACUUGUUACCACGUAACGUGCUUAGGAUGUUGGCAUAAUGGCUUUAAUCGACCCGUCUUGAAACACGG